GACACAACAGGACAGAAUCCAUCCCGUAACGGUAAGACACCACACAGAGCAAGAGCCAGCCACACUCCAUACCUGAGAAGGACACGUCAUUCUGUGACCCAUCCCUGGGCAGGGUCAGUGUGGUGAGGGACCUAGUCCUCUCUGGCUGAGCAGAUCCCAGGGCAGGGGUGUGGUGUUGCUACUGUUUUUUUUUUCCCUAGGUUGUUAGGUAGGACCGGGGACAGACUGGUGAUGUGGAUAACCUUGCCCCUUCUCUGGGGCAUCUUGUCCCCAUACAAUUCCUCCGCUUGGUCCUUUUGUACUCUCCAAAAUGAGGGUCCAGGAGGGAGCACUCAGCCUCUGGGGAAAGAACUAAGGAAUGAGGAACAGAGGGAAGAUCCAGAAUGGAAAAUGGAAUCAGGGAUGGAGCAGGGAUCUUUCUGAUCAGUAGAUCAGAUGGCUGGCCUGAUUGUUUCCCCCAGACUAGGAGUCUAUAGGUCUGGGGCUUCCUCUCUGCUCACCUCAGAGAACAGACACACACAUUUGCACACUCACUCAGCAGGGAGCUAGGGGGGAAAAUGACUCAGUGCCUGAUGUUUGAGCAGAGAACCCAGCUAAGGGUCCAAGAUUUGGGGAAGGGCCAUACAUGUGAUAUCUAAAAAUAAGAUGAACCUGUGGCACAUAAAGGAGUGAAUCUUUGCAGGACGGUACAGGGUAAGUUUCUCUUAGAGAUAAGAGGUCAGAGCUGGAGGAGAAAAGGAAAAUCCAAAGCCAAGGAAAGAAGAGGGCUGGAAGGAACACAGAUGUGAGCAGCUCUGGCAAGGGAGGAGCUGUAGGGAAGGUGUCACGAUCCUGCCACCUCCAGCCAGGACAGAUCCCUCUACAGGUUUUCUCUGCUUUCUGCGUUUGCAUUUCCCAUCCCAAGUUAUCAAGGACUUGCUCUUUUAAAGAGCACUUUUUAACUUGUGGCACUGCAAGGCCACUUCCCUCCACAGAGACACAGACUAUGGAGAACAGCCUCAGAUUCCAGUAAGAAACUGUCCACUGAAGGUGGCAAUAUGAAACUCUCGUGGAAGGCCUUGAUUUUAUGGGAAACAAGAGAAGAUUGAGGAGAAAGAAAGGGCCCCCAAACUGUAAGGAAUAAAAUAGGAAGUGCUGACAUAGAAAUUAAAGGCUCCCUAAUUCUGUGCA